CACGUAGGGGGCGAGCGUUGUCCGGAUUUAUUGGGCGUAAAGAGCUCGUAGGCGGUUUGUUGCGUCGGCUGUGAAAUCCCGAGGCUCAACCUCGGGUCUGCAGUCGAUACGAGCAAACUAGAGUGUUGCAGGGGAGACUGGAAUUCCUGGUGUAGCGGUGAAAUGCGCAGAUAUCGGGAGGAACACCAAUGGCGAAGGCAGCUCGCUGGGACGGUACUGACGCUGAGACGCGAAAGCGUGGGGAGCAAACAGG
rnacentral:rRNA from 1 species